UGGGGAAUUUUGGACAAUGGGGGCAACCCUGAUCCAGCAAUGCCGCGUGUGUGAAGAAGGCCUUCGGGUUGUAAAGCACUUUUGUCCGGAAAGAAAACGCCGUGGUUAAUACCCGUGGCGGAUGACGGUACCGGAAGAAUAAGCACCGGCUAACUACGUGCCAGCAGCCGCGGUAAUACGUAGGGUGCAAGCGUUAAUCGGAAUUACUGGGCGUAAAGCGUGCGCAGGCGGUCCGCUAAGACAGAUGUGAAAUCCCCGGGCUUAACCUGGGAACUGCAUUUGUGACUGGCGGGCUAGAGUAUGGCAGAGGGGGGUAGAAUUCCACGUGUAGCAGUGAAAUGCGUAGAGAUGUGGAGGAAUACCGAUGGCGAAGGCAGCCCCCUGGGCCAAUACUGACGCUCAUGCACGAAAGCGUGGGGGAGCAAAACAGGAUUCAGAUACCCUGGUAGUCCACGCCCUAAACGAUGUCAACUAGUUGUGGGGAUUCAUUUCCUUAGUAACGUAGCUAACGCGUGAAGUUGACCGCCUGGGGAGUACGGUCGCAAGCAUUAAAACUCAAAGGAAUUGACGGGGGUCAUAGCUGUUUCCUG
rnacentral:rRNA from 1 species